AAUCAAACACUUCCUUGUCCUCACAGUAAAAUAUCAACUGCAGGCAAUAGAAGGAGGGAAACCAGCAACGGCUUAUCUUCAACUCCUACACACAAGAACAUACUCUCUCUAUCUAUCCAUAACUCUAUGUUGAAAUGGAACACUUGUCGUUGAAUCCAUCUUUGCAAAAUGAAACCGAAAACGAAAAUUUGGGACUGCCUGAGAAAGAUGUCGGAAGCCAAGGCCUGAGGAGAAAAAGUUUGUCAAGAAGGGAAUUUCAUGACAGACUACUCCAUUUCCUGGAGAUGAAGUGGAAGUUCAUUUCAGUGGACAUAUUGAAGGCGGGGCGGGGCAUAUCUUGAUUCAAGUCGUGAUAAAGGGGUUCCUUUCAAGUUCAAAUUAGGCCUAGGCAAGAAAUGAACUCUCCAUAGUAAUGGUGAUAUAUCUUUAUUGUUAGCUAUAUGUACAAGAAGUCUUUGUUUGAUAUUUGGGUUUUAGGUGAGGUUAUAAGAGGAUAGGAUGAGGGAGUUGCCACUAUGAAGAAUGGUGAGAGAGCAAGUUUUACGAUACCGCCAAACUUGGCCUAUGGGGAGGCUGGUUCUCCACCACUGAUUCCUCCCAAUGCAACUCUUUUUUUUGAUGUUGAGAUCCUGUCAUGGAGUAGCAUCUGGGAUUUAACAGGUGAUGGAGGAAUAUUGAAGAAGAUAACAAAGGAGGGUGAAGGAUAUUGGGCUACACCAAGAGAUAUUGGAGAUUAAGUUUUAGAAAAGUAUGAGGCAAAGCUUGAGAAUGGAAUCCUUGUCUCCAAAUCUGAGGAAGGUGUGGAGUUUCAUAUAGGAGAUGGUAAGUGUGUUGUGUUAAUAACAUUUUCUCAAGUAAUGUCGUAGAAAUUUGAGGGUUUCAUCUCUGGUGAGAAUAAUUCUUCUAUAUUGAUCUGGGUUUACGUUAUCUAUGUCCUGCAUGGAGCAAAGCAGUGAAAACAAUGAGAAAGGGUGAGAAGGCAGAGCUAGCAUAUUUUUCAAAUAAGUAUAUCUGUGGUCCUUACCAUUAUAGAACAAGUGAACAGCGGUUUAGACAGAGCCAUUAUGACUAAGAAGAAAGGAGAACAUGCCGCAGUGACCGUGGAUACCGAAUACCUCCGUGGCGGUGACGAUGCUUCCUGCAAAUUCCUUGCUUCAUUAUGAAGUUGAGCUGAUCGAUUUUAUCGAAUUGCAUUCAAUUUUCACAACUCCGAGUUUUGAACAGAAAUAACCGUUCUGGAAAAUUAGAAGCAAGUGAAAGGAAGAAGCUCGACGGAAAUGUGCUAUUCAAGGCAGGAAAAUUCUGGCAAGCCUCUAAGAAAUAUGAGAAG